rnacentral:rRNA from 1 species
UACGUAGGAGGCGAGCGUUGUCCGGAAUUACUGGGCGUAAAGGGUGCGUAGGCGGCCUGAUAAGUCAGAUGUGAAAUACCAGGGCUCAACCCUGGGGGUGCAUUUGAAACUGUUGGGCUUGAGUGCAGGAGAGGAAAGUGGAAUUCCUAGUGUAGCGGUGAAAUGCGUAGAGAUUAGGAGGAACACCAGUGGCGAAGGCGACUUUCUGGACUGUAACUGACGCUGAGGCACGAAAGCGUGGGUAGCGAACAGGAUUAGAUACCCUGGUA